rnacentral:RNase_P_RNA from 1 species
GGAGCGGAUCGGAGGAUCGCCGCGUCGCAAGGCGCGGAGGAAAGUCCGAACUCCAACGGGCAGCAGGCUGGAUAACAUCCAGGCGCGGCAACGCGACGGACAGUGCAACAGAGAGCAAACCGCCGAUCGUUCUGUGCGCGAGCACAGGAAGGAGGCAAGGGUGAAACGGUGCGGUAAGAGCGCACCGCAUCCCGCGCGAGCGGCGAUGGCACGGCAAACCCCCUGCGGAGCAAGACCAAAUAGGGAAGCGAAGGGACCGCCCGUUCCCGUCAUCAGCUUCCGGGUAGGUUGCUUGAUCACCGCGGAAACGCGAGUGACAGAUGAAUGAUCCUCCCUCCACUGGGGGACAGAAUUCGGCUUACAGAUCCGCUCCACGC